rnacentral:tRNA from 1 species
GCCUGGCUGGCUCAGUCAGUAGAGCAUGCGACUUUUGACCUCAGGGUCAUGAUUUCAAGCCUCAUGCUGAGCA